rnacentral:rRNA from 1 species
UACGGAGGGUGCGAGCGUUGUUCGGAAUCACUGGGCGUAAAGCGCGUGUAGGCGCCUUCUCAGUCUGGUGUGAAAGCCCGGGGCUCACCCCCGGAAGUGCAUUGGAUACUGGAAGGCUGGAGUACCGGAGAGGAGGGUGGAAUUCCUGGUGUAGCGGUGAAAUGCGUAGAGAUCCGGAGGAACACCAGUGGCGAAAGCGGCCACCUGGACUGUACCUGACGCUGAAACGCGAAAGCUAGGGGAGCGAACGGG